GGCUGGUAUGAAGGUAGUGAGUUAUCUCAAUUGAUUGUUCACAGUCAGUUACAGAUCGAACUCCUUGUUCUGCUCUUUCCCCCCUUCUCACUACUGUACUUGACUAGUCAAAA
rnacentral:Y_RNA from 1 species